CCUACGGGAGGCUGCAGUGAGGAAUAUUGGUCAAUGGGCGGGAGCCUGAACCAGCCAAGUCGCGUGAGGGAAGACGGUCCUAUGGAUUGUAAACCUCUUUAGGCGGGGAGCAAUGCCGGGCACGUGUGCCCGGAGGGAGAGUACCCGCCGAAUAAGCAUCGGCUAACUCCGUGCCAGCAGCCGCGGUAAUACGGGGGAUGCGAGUGUUAUCCGGAUUUAUUGGGAUUAAAGGGUGCGUAGGCGGAGUUUUAAGUCAGCGGUAAAAUGUCCGGGCUCAACCCGGGCCGGCCGUUGAAACUGGGGAUCUUGAGUGGGCGAGAAGUAUGCGGAAUGCGUAGUGUAGCGGUGAAAUGCAUAGAUAUCACGAAGAACUCCGAUUGCGAAGGCAGCUUACUAAACUGCCACUGACAUUGAUGCUCGAAAGUGUGGGUAUCAAACAGGAUUAGAGACCCGGGUAGUC
rnacentral:rRNA from 1 species